rfam:Triticum aestivum genome assembly, contig: Triticum_aestivum_CS42_TGACv1_scaffold_081954_1DS
AUAGUACUCCCUCCGUCCGGAAAUACUUGUCCUAGCAAUGAAUAAAAUUGAUGUAUCUAUAACUAAAAUAAGUCUAGAUACAACCAUUUCUAGGACAAGUAUUUUCGGACGGAGGUUUAUCCA